rnacentral:rRNA from 1 species
AGAGUUUGAUCCUGGCUCAGAACGAACGCUGGCGGCACGCCUAACACAUGCAAGUCGAGCGCCCAGCAAUGGGAGCGGCGGACGAGUGAGUAACACGUGGGAACAUGCCUUUCGGUUCGGCACAACUCAGGGAAACUUGAGCUAAUUCCGGAUACGCCCGUAAGGGGAAAGAUUUAUCGCCGAAAGAUUGGCCCGCGUAAGAUUAGCUAGUUGGUGAGGUAAUGGCUCACCAAGGCAACGAUCUUUAGCUGGUUUGAGAGAACGACCAGCCACGUUGGGACUGAGACACGGCCCAAACUCCUACGGGAGGCAGCAGUGGGGAAUCUUGGACAAUGGGGGAAACCCUGAUCCAGCGAUGCCGCGUGAGUGAUGAAGGCCUUCGGGUUGUAAAACUCUUUUACCCGGGAAGAUAAUGACUGUACCGGGAGAAUAAGCUCCGGCUAACUUCGUGCCAGCAGCCGCGGUAAUACGAAGGGGGCUAGCGUUGUUCGGAAUUACUGGGCGUAAAGCGCGCGCAGGCGGCCAUUCAAGUCAGGGGUGAAAGCCCAGAGCUCAACUCUGGAACUGCCCUUGAAACUGUAUGGCUUGAGUAUGAGAGAGGUGAGUGGAAUUCCCAGUGUAGAGGUGAAAUUCGUAGAUAUUGGGAAGAACACCGGUGGCGAAGGCGGCUCACUGGCUCAUUACUGACGCUCAGGCGCGACAGCGUGGGGAUCAAACAGGAUUAGAUACCCUAGUAGUCC